UACAGAGGUGGCAAGCGUUGUUCGGAAUUAUUGGGCGUAAAGAGCGCGUAGGCGGUCCGAUAAGUCGGCUGUGAAAGUCAGGGGCUCAACCCUUGGAAGCCGGCCGAUACUGUCGGACUAGAGUCCGGAAGAGGCGAGUGGAAUUCCCGGUGUAGCGGUGAAAUGCGCAGAUAUCGGGAGGAACACCAAUGGCGAAGGCAGCUCGCUGGGACGGUACUGACGCUGAGGCGCGAAAGCGUGGGGAGCAAACAGG
rnacentral:rRNA from 1 species